UUAUUUUGUGUUGAAAAUAAAAAUAUAGACGUCUUUUAUUGCGGCUCAGCCUCACCCAGACUCAGCAUCCAGUGGCCCCCAGGCAAAUUGAGUUUGAGACCCCUGCUCUAGCUACUGCCACUGUCAGGAACAAAACAAGGAUGCCUUUGAAAGAUGGAGAAGAUUGAAGGCGAAGAAGACUUUUUCAUCUGACGCCAAACCUGCUAAUUUCUUCCUUGAUAGGUGGUGUGCCUCUGGAUUUUCUCAACGCAGAAGAUGUGCCUUGGCUCAAAAAAGGUUGAAAAACACUGAGCUAAGAGAAAGAGUCGUUGUUGGCCUCACCUGCAGCUUCUCUCUCUCCUCCUGGUGCUUCUUCUCGGCGUCUUGAAGCUGCGCAUACAAGCGCUUACUCACUUCUCUCAGCUUGGUCCUCUCCGCCUCCUCGUCUGCCUCCUGACAGACCAAUCACAACAACAACAACACACGUGAAUACGCUCGGAAUGACGUCGUGUGUGAAACAAACGCUGCCGUCGGCGAGAGAAUGCGGCGGGUCGGGCCCUGCAAGAGAAACCAGGCGUGUUUGUUGCCAUCGCCGUGCGUCAUUGGAUGCUGACCAGUUUUCUCUAUUCUUGUGACGGUUCUCAUGACUCACAGAAACGUUAAUGCUAUAAAUGGCACGGAGAAACUAAUGCGGCGAAGAGCUCAAACUAUGAAGGCGAUGACGCCACUAUGGAAUGUGGCGACAAAAGGGAGGGCCUGAAUACAAUAAGGUAAAGUAGCUAUAAUUAAUUUAUUUGGCAUCCUCUCUCAUCUAACUACUCUCUGGAACCACCGUGUUGACAUUCCUGUGAAUGUCAUUGGUUCAGGUUGUAUUCUCAGGGCACAGAGUCAAUCACAACUUGUUUUUACAACCAAAACAAAACACACGCUCACCUGUCCAUCACUUUUGGCUCCGCCUUUCUGGGCCUGCUUCUUGAAUGGGGAGGUGACCUUCCACCCGUUAGUGUGCAUCUGGAGAAAGGAGAGGAGAAGAGAUGAGGUGAAGCA